AUGAACGCUGGCGGCGUGCUUAACACAUGCAAGUCGAACGAAGCACUUUAUUACAAUUUCUUCGGAAUGACGAUUAGUGACGAGUGGCGGACGGGUGAGUAAUGUCUGGGAAACUGCCUGAUGGAGGGGGAUAACUACUGGAAACGGUAGCUAAUACCGCAUAACGUCGCAAGACCAAAGAGGGGGACCUUCGGGCCUCUUGCCAUCGGAUGUGCCCAGAUGGGAUUAGCUAGUAGGUGGGGUAACGGCUCACCUAGGCGACGAUCCCUAGCUGGUCUGAGAGGAUGACCAGCCACACUGGAACUGAGACACGGUCCAGACUCCUACGGGAGGCAGCAGUGGGGAAUAUUGCACAAUGGGCGCAAGCCUGAUGCAGCCAUGCCGCGUGUAUGAAGAAGGCCUUCGGGUUGUAAAGUACUUUCAGCGGGGAGGAAGGGAGUAAAGUUAAUACCUUUGCCCAUUGACGUUACCCGCAGAAGAAGCACCGGCUAACUCCGUG
rnacentral:rRNA from 1 species